UUUUCCUUCUUCCUUCUUCCUUCUUCCUUCUUCCUUCUUCCUUCUUCCUUCUUCCUUCUUCCUUCUUCAUUCUCUCUUCUUCCUUCUUCCUUCUUCCUUUAGCCUUCUUCUUUCUUCCUUCUUCCUUCUCCCUUCUUCUUACUUUUUCUUUCUUGCUUCUUCCUAUUUCUUUCUGCCUACUUUCUUCACCCUUCUUCUUUCUUCAUUCUUCCUUAUUAUUUCAACUAUUCGACCAAACGGCAUUCGGCCAAAUUACCCUUUCGGCCAAAUGGCAUUCGGCCAAACGACAUUCAGCCAAACGGCAUUCGGCCAAAUGACCCUAAACCUUCCUUAUCAGCUGUCGCAACUCAUUAAGAGAAAUACUCAUCUCAUCAUUCUCACCAUGUCGAUUGUGCUCACUUGAAUUCAUUUUAAAUUGUUUACUGCGUUGCCCGUUUGUUUUAUUAAGAUCUUCGGGAGAGUUACUUAUGUGAAUUCUGUUUUUAUUGCGUCUCGACAUACCACUGUGUUUUGAAAAUACUAUGCAAUCUCAUGAAACUCACUACUUCAAUUCCAACUAAUCACCAAUAUCAACAGCAACAGCAAACAACAGAGCAGCAAUACAACCAGAAGCGAUCGAAAGUGAGUGUUUUACAGUUUACACCACACGUAGACUUCUCUACGCCCCGGGAGCGAUUUCUUCGUGGUUUGAACUGUCCAGUGACAAUAGCAGAUCUAGGUGAAUUAGGAGGUGAAUUAGGAUCACUCGAAAACAAAAAGACAAUAUGUCUCAACGAUUUCAGAUUCAAUUAGGAUUUUCUUGCGAACCAAUCACAGAUAAAGUGACGAUGUGUGAGAUGAAUGCUUUCAUCUUCGUUUCCGGUUGCCAUGAUGUUGUUGGAUAUAUUGGACCCCUUGGGAACGUUUGUAACUAGCAAGCUCUCGUUCUCCGAGGCGUUUCUGAGGAAGCUGCUACACUGGAUUUGGAUUAGGGGCAUGAACACUGGAAAUAAUCGCCUCGUCUAUAAAUAAUAAAUUACACCACAUUUCGCGUUGGAUUGCUGUCGAUUGGCUUAAUAUCUUUUAUGCGUUAUUAGCAUUGAAACUGUGUUGAAACGCAAAAAGCAUGGAUUUCAAAAUCAUACAGAUCUCAUUACAAAUACAUAAAAACAUGUAUGAGGGCUUGCGUAAGUUCCAUUUUUGGUGUUGCAUUUGUCUAUCAGAUCUGCACGAAACUUUCAUUAACUUUAUUGCUAUUCAAAUUGAAGGCAUCACUUUAC